rnacentral:rRNA from 1 species
GACGAACGCUGGCGGCGUGCUUAACACAUGCAAGUCGAACGGAAAGGCCCUGCUUUUGUGGGGUGCUCGAGUGGCGAACGGGUGAGUAACACGUGAGUAACCUGCCCUUGACUUUGGGAUAACUUCAGGAAACUGGGGCUAAUACCGGAUAGGAGCUCCUGCUGCAUGGUGGGGGUUGGAAAGUUUCGGCGGUUGGGGAUGGACUCGCGGCUUAUCAGCUUGUUGGUGGGGUAGUGGCUUACCAAGGCUUUGACGGGUAGCCGGCCUGAGAGGGUGACCGGCCACAUUGGGACUGAGAUACGGCCCAGACUCCUACGGGAGGCAGCAGUGGGGAAUAUUGCACAAUGGGCGGAAGCCCGAUGCAGCAACGCCGCGUGCGGGAUGACGGCCUUCGGGUUGUAAACCGCUUUCGCCUGUGACGAAGCGUGAGUGACGGUAAUGGGUAAAGAAGCACCGGCUAACUACGUGCCAGCAGCCGCGGUGAUACGUAGGGUGCGAGCGUUGUCCGGAUUUAUUGGGCGUAAAGGGCUCGUAGGUGGUUGAUCGCGUCGGAAGUGUAAUCUUGGGGCUUAACCCUGAGCGUGCUUUCGAUACGGGUUGACUUGAGGAAGGUAGGGGAGAAUGGAAUUCCUGGUGGAGCGGUGGAAUGCGCAGAUAUCAGGAGGAACACCAGUGGCGAAGGCGGUUCUCUGGGCCUUUCCUGACGCUGAGGAGCGAAAGCGUGGGGAGCGAACAGGCUUAGAUACCCUGGUAGUCCACGCUGUAAACGGUGGGUACUAGGUGUGGGGUCCAUUCCACGGGUUCCGUGCCGUAGCUAACGCUUUAAGUACCCCGCCUGGGGAGUACGGCCACAAGGCUAAAACUCAAAGGAAUUGACGGGGCCCCGCACAAGCGGCGGAGCAUGCGGAUUAAUUCGAUGCAACGCGUAGAACCUUACCUGGGUUUGACAUGGAUCGGGAGUGCUCAGAGAUGGGUGUGCCUCUUUUGGGGUCGGUUCACAGGUGGUGCAUGGCUGUCGUCAGCUCGUGUCGUGAGAUGUUGGGUUAAGUCCCGCAACGAGCGCAACCCUUGUUCACUGUUGCCAGCACGUUAUGGUGGGGACUCAGUGGAGACCGCCGGGGUCAACUCGGAGGAAGGUGGGGAUGACGUCAAGUCAUCAUGCCCCUUAUGUCCAGGGCUUCACGCAUGCUACAAUGGCUGGUACAGAGAGUGGCGAGCCUGUGAGGGUGAGCGAAUCUCGGAAAGCCGGUCUCAGUUCGGAUUGGGGUCUGCAACUCGACCUCAUGAAGUCGGAGUCGCUAGUAAUCGCAGAUCAGCAACGCUGCGGUGAAUACGUUCCCGGG